AGAGAGCUGCCUGGCACACAGCCAGUCCCUGCCUCUCAGCUGUCAUCCCCAGCAGAUGAUGUCUAUCUAUGCAUUUGCUCACUGCCUCUCUCCCCAGGAGUGGGGGCUUCCAUGAAGAUAACCUUCUCACUGUUUACUGCUGUGUCCCCAGGGCUGACAUCAUUCCUCACACAUGACAAUCACUCAAAAAAAUAGUUGUUGAAAGAAGUGUGAGUGAAGGAACUGAUGGAAGCUUUCCAGCUGGUAUCUAAAGGAACUCACAACCCCGGGAGAAGAGGAACGGAAAGUGUAAGCAAUGCAUUCUUCACAUUCCUGCAGUGACCAGGAAGAAGAGGAGCUUCAGAGCCAGUCUGCUCCCUUCAGGAAGAGUUCCAGGCAGAAGCAAACAGAACUCACCUCCCUGGGGAGCAGGAGUCAGCUGUGAACUGCUGUGGCCUUAGUUCAUGGUCUAGCACACCCAUCAGAACCUGCAGUAGCAGUUUCCUGUCUGUGUUCCUGCUGUAACCAGUUCCAGCGGUGAUCUCAUCACGGCCUGCCUCCCACUCCUUCUGGGGAGCUCAGCCCCUCAGAAGAGCCCUCCAGGGCACUGCCUGCUACCCAGAUGGAGAGCCCUUCAAGGCACUCCCUGCUACCCACAGCCCCUUCUAACCUUUCAGCAGCCCCCCAAGUCUUCCCUUAGUUGGGUCAGUUGAAGAUAGCUAGUGGACGGUGCUCCAUGCCUUUGUCCCGGGCAUGGCCUGGUGUUCCUUCUCUAGGUGUCUCUGAGCCCUUGCUUUUGUUCUGCCAACCUUCCUCCUUCCUGUCACUGACAGUUCAUCUGUCCUCUCACUCCCCUGCCAUUCUUUCAUGUUCUACAGCUGCCCGUCUUCCCUCUACAAGUGUUCUCUCCCUCCUGGCUCCUGUAUACUUACCCAGAGAGACUUUCACUUCGGGUGAAGCUGCCCAACUCUUUCUACCCCUGGAAGAGCAGACAUACACUCCUUAAAGCAACGUGGAGAAAACAGGAUGUUCUUUCAUCCCCUCACCAUUUCAGACAGUAGUCCUACCCUCUCCUUACAUCUCUGAACUCACCCUGCUGGUAUAUAGGUCAGUAGGUCACAGCUCAGCCUCCCAUCCUCACAUGGAUGGCAUUUACUCCCUGACUUUCUUCAGCACAAUACCUUCAUGAAGAGUCCUGUCUGCCUCACCCAGUUCAACUUUGCCACCUCCAGCUUCCCACCCAAGCCCAGCGUGUUCUAUGAUUUACGAUUGAACUCAGCUCAAACUAAUCACCCUGCCCUUUGAAUCAAGGUAAACUUUAGAAUUUAGCAGAAUCAGGUCAUCUGUCUCUCUCACACACCAACACCCACACCCACUCCUCUCUCUAGUUCUUCUACACUCUUUAAUCUCUAGGUCAUAAACUCCCAAACACUCUAUCUCACCACUGGGUCUCCUCCAGUGUAUGUUACAAAUCAAUUCACAAGGCAGGAUUUAAUCCAUAAUCAUUUAACUGGAACGCUUGGGGAAAGUAGGCAGGGAAUACUACUUACGCACAGCCCUCGAGGAUGGUGUGAAAUUCUUUACGUUGUAACAUCCGAUAGCCACGCAUGUCUUGUGUUGCAUAAAACCUUUUGGUUUCCA